rnacentral:rRNA from 1 species
AGGGAGAACCAUUCGAUCCGUAAGGACUGGAUGGGGAAACCGGCGAACGGGUGCGUAACACGUGAGGAACCUGCCCCGAAGACCGGGAUAGCCCGAGGAAACUCGGAUUAAUACCGGAUACCCUCUUUGGACCACAUGGUCCGCUGAGGAAAUGGUCCGCCGCUUCGGGAUGGCCUCGCGGCCUAUCAGCUUGUUGGUGAGGUAACGGCUCACCAAGGCAAAGACGGGUAGCUGGUCUGAGAGGACGAUCAGCCACACUGGGACUGAGACACGGCCCAGACUCCUACGGGAGGCAGCAGCAGGGAAUAUUGCACAAUGGGCGAAAGCCUGAUGCAGCGACACCGCGUGCGGGAUGAAGGCCCUCGGGUUGUAAACCGCUUUCAGGAGGGACGAAAAUGACGGUACCUCCAGAAGAAGGCCCGGCCAACUACGUGCCAGCAGCCGCGGUAAUACGUAGGGGCCAAACGUUGUCCGGAUUUAUUGGGCGUAAAGGGCUCGUAGGCGGUUCAACAAGUCGAUCGUGAAAGCCCGGGGCUCAACCCCGGGACGCCGGUCGAAACUGUUGUGACUAGGGUCCGGUAGAGGUGAGUGGAAUUCUCGGUGUAGCGGUG